rnacentral:rRNA from 1 species
UACGAAGGGGGCUAGCGUUGUUCGGAAUCACUGGGCGGAAAGGGCGCGUAGGCGGCCGAUCAAGUCGGGGGUGAAAGCCUGUGGCUCAACCACAGAAUUGCCUUCGAUACUGUUUGGCUUGAGACCGGAAGAGGUUAGUGGAACUGCGAGUGUAGAGGUGAAAUUCGUAGAUAUUCGCAAGAACACCAGUGGCGAAGGCGGCUGACUGGUCCGGUUCUGGCGCUGAGGCGCGAAAGCGUGGGGAGCAAACAGG